rnacentral:rRNA from 1 species
AUUGAACGCUGGCGGCAGGCCUAACACAUGCAAGUCGAGCGAGCGGCGGACGGGUGAGGAAUGCCGGGGAAUUGCCCAGUCGGGGGGGAUAACAGUAGGAAACGACUGCUAAUACCGAAUACGAGUGGACAGCCCAGGUGGGAUUAGCUAGUUGGGGAGGUAAUGGCUCACCAAGGCGACGAUCCCUAGCUGGUCUGAGAGUAUGAUCGGAAAGGCUGGAACUGAGACACGGUCCAGACGGGUGAGGGCGGGGGGGGGGGGGAAGAGUGCACGAGGGGGGAAACCCUGAGGGAGCCAUGCCGCGUGUGUGAAUGAGUCCUUCGGGUGAGACAGCACUUUCAGCGGGGAGGCGUUCCUCACCCAAGAAGCACCGGCUAACUCCGUGCCAGCAGCCGCGGUAAUAC